CAAUAGCGUAUAUUAACGUUGUUGCAGUUAAAAAGCUCGUAGUUGGAUUUUGGGUCGGGGGCACCGGUCCGCCGUUCCGGUGUGCACUGGUGGCCCCUUCCUUUCUGCCGGGGACGUGCGUCGCACUUAAUUGGGUGGCGUUCGGAGUCGGCGUUGUUACUUUGAAAAAAUUAGAGUGUUCAAAGCAAGCCAUCGCUCUGAAUACAUUAGCAUGGAAUAACAUGAUAGGACUCCGGUCUUAUUUUGUUGGUUUCCGAGACUGGAGUAAUGAUUAAGAGGGACAGUCGGGGGCAUCCGUAUUUCAUUGUCAGAGGUGAAAUUCUUGGAUUUAUGAAAGACGAACUUCUGCGAAAGCAUUUGCCAAGGAUGUUUUCAUUAA
rnacentral:rRNA from 1 species